UGCAGUCGAGCGAAUGGAUUAAGAGCUUGCUCUUAUGAAGUUAGCGGCGGACGGGUGAGUAACACGUGGGUAACCUGCCCAUAAGACUGGGAUAACUCCGGGAAACCGGGGCUAAUACCGGAUAAUAUUUUGAACUGCAUGGUUCGAAAUUGAAAGGCGGCUUCGGCUGUCACUUAUGGAUGGACCCGCGUCGCAUUAGCUAGUUGGUGAGGUAACGGCUCACCAAGGCAACGAUGCGUAGCCGACCUGAGAGGGUGAUCGGCCACACUGGGACUGAGACACGGCCCAGACUCCUACGGGAGGCAGCAGUAGGGAAUCUUCCGCAAUGGACGAAAGUCUGACGGAGCAACGCCGCGUGAGUGAUGAAGGCUUUCGGGUCGUAAAACUCUGUUGUUAGGGAAGAACAAGUGCUAGUUGAAUAAGCUGGCACCUUGACGGUACCUAACCAGAAAGCCACGGCUAACUACGUGCCAGCAGCCGCGGUAAUACGUAGGUGGCAAGCGUUAUCCGGAAUUAUUGGGCGUAAAGCGCGCGCAGGUGGUUUCUUAAGUCUGAUGUGAAAGCCCACGGCUCAACCGUGGAGGGUCAUUGGAAACUGGGAGACUUGAGUGCAGAAGAGGAAAGUGGAAUUCCAUGUGUAGCGGUGAAAUGCGUAGAGAUAUGGAGGAACACCAGUGGCGAAGGCGACUUUCUGGUCUGUAACUGACACUGAGGCGCGAAAGCGUGGGGA
rnacentral:rRNA from 1 species